rnacentral:rRNA from 1 species
CACGUAGGGUGCGAGCGUUGUCCGGAAUUAUUGGGCGUAAAGAGCUCGUAGGCGGUGUGUCGCGUCGGCCGUGAAAACCUGCAGCUUAACUGUGGGCUUGCGGUCGAUACGGGCAUCACUGGAGUUCGGCAGGGGAGACUGGAAUUCCUGGUGUAGCGGUGAAAUGCGCAGAUAUCAGGAAGAACACCAAUGGCGAAGGCAGCUCUCUGGGACGGUACUGACGCUGAGGCGCGAAAGCGUGGGGAGCGAACAGG